rnacentral:tRNA from 1 species
CAGGAGAAAAGGGAUUCGAACCCUUAACCUGUGGGUUUU